GGGUUGUGAGGUUAAGCGACUAAGCGUACACGGUGGAUGCCCUGGCAGUCAGAGGCGAUGAAGGACGUGCUAAUCUGCGAAAAGCGUCGGUAAGGUGAUAUGAACCGUUAUAGCCGGCGAUGUCCGAAUGGGGAAACCCAGUGCAAUUCGUUGCACUAUCGUUAACUGAAUACAUAGGUUAACGAGGCGAACCGGGGGAACUGAAACAUCUAAGUACCCCGAGGAAAAGAAAUCAACCGAGAUUCCCCCAGUAGCGGCGAGCGAACGGGGAGCAGCCCAGAGUCUGAAUCAGCUUGUGUGUUAGUGGAACGGUCUGGAAAGUCCGACGGUACAGGGUGAUAGUCCCGUACACCAAAAUGCACAGGCUGUGAACUCGAAGAGUAGGGCGGGACACGUGGUAUCCUGUCUGAAUAUGGGGGGACCAUCCUCCAAGGCUAAAUACUCCUGACUGACCGAUAGUGAACCAGUACCGUGAGGGAAAGGCGAAAAGAACCCCGGCGAGGGGAGUGAAAAAGAACCUGAAACCGUGUACGUACAAGCAGUGGGAGCACCUUCGGGUGUGACUGCGUACCUUUUGUAUAAUGGGUCAGCGACUUAUAUUCUGUAGCAAGGUUAACCGUAUAGGGGAGCCGCAGGGAAACCGAGUCUUAACUGGGCGUUAAGUUGCAGGGUAUAGACCCGAAACCCGGUGAUCUAGCCAUGGGCAGGUUGAAGGUUGGGUAACACUAACUGGAGGACCGAACCGACUAAUGUUGAAAAAUUAGCGGAUGACUUGUGGCUGGGGGUGAAAGGCCAAUCAAACCGGGAGAUAGCUGGUUCUCCCCGAAAGCUAUUUAGGUAGCGCCUCGUGAACUCAUCUUCGGGGGUAGAGCACUGUUUCGGCUAGGGGGUCAUCCCGACUUACCAACCCGAUGCAAACUACGAAUACCGAAGAAUGUUAUCACGGGAGACACACGGCGGGUGCUAACGUCCGUCGUGAAGAGGGAAACAACCCAGACCGCCAGCUAAGGUCCCAAAGUCAUGGUUAAGUGGGAAACGAUGUGGGAAGGCACAGACAGCCAGGAUGUUGGCUUAGAAGCAGCCAUCAUUUAAAGAAAGCGUAAUAGCUCACUGGUCGAGUCGGCCUGCGCGGAAGAUGUAACGGGGCUAAACCAUGCACCGAAGCUGCGGCAGCGACACUAUGUGUUGUUGGGUAGGGGAGCGUUCUGUAAGCCUGCGAAGGUGGCCUGUGAGGGUUGCUGGAGGUAUCAGAAGUGCGAAUGCUGACAUAAGUAACGAUAAAGCGGGUGAAAAGCCCGCUCGCCGGAAGACCAAGGGUUCCUGUCCAACGUUAAUCGGGGCAGGGUGAGUCGACCCCUAAGGCGAGGCCGAAAGGCGUAGUCGAUGGGAAACAGGUUAAUAUUCCUGUACUUGGUGUUACUGCGAAGGGGGGACGGAGAAGGCUAUGUUAGCCGGGCGACGGUUGUCCCGGUUUAAGCAUGUAGGCUGGUUAUCCAGGCAAAUCCGGAUAAUCAAGGCUGAGGUGUGAUGACGAGGCACUACGGUGCUGAAGUAACAAAUGCCCUGCUUCCAGGAAAAGCCUCUAAGCAUCAGGUAACAUCAAAUCGUACCCCAAACCGACACAGGUGGUCAGGUAGAGAAUACCAAGGCGCUUGAGAGAACUCGGGUGAAGGAACUAGGCAAAAUGGUGCCGUAACUUCGGGAGAAGGCACGCUGGUGUGUAGGUGAAGUCCCUGCGGAUGGAGCUGAGACCAGUCGAAGAUACCAGCUGGCUGCAACUGUUUAUUAAAAACACAGCACUGUGCAAACACGAAAGUGGACGUAUACGGUGUGACGCCUGCCCGGUGCCGGAAGGUUAAUUGAUGGGGUUAUCCGUAAGGAGAAGCUCUUGAUCGAAGCCCCGGUAAACGGCGGCCGUAACUAUAACGGUCCUAAGGUAGCGAAAUUCCUUGUCGGGUAAGUUCCGACCUGCACGAAUGGCGUAAUGAUGGCCAGGCUGUCUCCACCCGAGACUCAGUGAAAUUGAACUCGCUGUGAAGAUGCAGUGUACCCGCGGCAAGACGGAAAGACCCCGUGAACCUUUACUAUAGCUUGACACUGAACAUUGAGCCUUGAUGUGUAGGAUAGGUGGGAGGCUUUGAAGCGUGGACGCCAGUCUGCGUGGAGCCAACCUUGAAAUACCACCCUUUAAUGUUUGAUGUUCUAACGUUGGCCCCUUACCGGGGUUGCGGACAGUGUCUGGUGGGUAGUUUGACUGGGGCGGUCUCCUCCCAAAGCGUAACGGAGGAGCACGAAGGUUAGCUAAUCCUGGUCGGACAUCAGGAGGUUAGUGCAAUGGCAUAAGCUAGCUUGACUGCGAGCGUGACGGCGCGAGCAGGUGCGAAAGCAGGUCAUAGUGAUCCGGUGGUUCUGAAUGGAAGGGCCAUCGCUCAACGGAUAAAAGGUACUCCGGGGAUAACAGGCUGAUACCGCCCAAGAGUUCAUAUCGACGGCGGUGUUUGGCACCUCGAUGUCGGCUCAUCACAUCCUGGGGCUGAAGUAGGUCCCAAGGGUAUGGCUGUUCGCCAUUUAAAGUGGUACGCGAGCUGGGUUUAGAACGUCGUGAGACAGUUCGGUCCCUAUCUGCCGUGGGCGCUGGAGAAUUGAGGGGGGCUGCUCCUAGUACGAGAGGACCGGAGUGGACGCAUCACUGGUGUUCGGGUUGUCAUGCCAAUGGCACUGCCCGGUAGCUAAAUGCGGAAGAGAUAAGUGCUGAAAGCAUCUAAGCACGAAACUUGCCCCGAGAUGAGUUCUCCCUGAGACUUUAAGUCUCCUGAAGGAACGUUAAAGACGAUGACGUUGAUAGGCCGGGUGUGUAAGCGCAGCGAUGCGUUGAGCUAACCGGUACUAAUGAACCGUGAGGCUUAACCUUACAACGCCGAAG
rnacentral:rRNA from 1 species